rnacentral:rRNA from 1 species
CUGCGGCGGAUUAGCUAGUUGGUGGGGUAACGGCCUACCAAGGCGAUGAUCCGUAGGGGGCGUGAGAGCGUGGCCCCCCACACUGGCACUGAGAUACGGGCCAGACUCCUACGGGAGGCAGCAGUGAGGAAUAUUGCACAAUGGGCGAAAGCCUGAUGCAGCAACGCCGCGUGCGGGACGAAGGCCUUCGGGUCGUAAACCGCUUUUCUGGGGAAAGAGCAAGGACGGUACCUCAGGAAUAAGUCUCGGCUAACUACGUGCCAGCAGCCGCGGUAAAACGUAGGAGGCGAGCGUUAUCCGGAUUUACUGGGCGUAAAGCGCACGCAGGCGGCUCUGUGAGUCGGACGUGAAAGCUCUCGGCUUAACCGGGAGAGGCCGUUCGAUACUGCGGGGCUUGAGGUAGGGAGAGGAAUGCGGAAUUCCCGGUGUAGUGGUGGAAUGCGUAGAUAUCGGGAGGAACACCUGUGGCGAAAGCGGCAUUCUGGCCCUCACCUGACGCUGAGGUGCGAAAGCGUGGGUAGCAAACAGGAUUAGAUACCCUGGUAGUCCACGCCGUAAACGAUGUCAACUGGGUGUCGGUAGUUUUACACUAGCGGUGCCGAAGCUAACGCG